rnacentral:rRNA from 1 species
GUGGGUAACCUGCCUCAUAGAGGGGGACAACAGUUGGAAACGACUGCUAAUACCGCAUAGUAAGAAAGAUUCGCAUGUUUCUUUCUUGAAAGAUUUAUCGCUAUGAGAUGGACCCGCGUCCGAUUAGCUAGUUGGUAAGGUAACGGCUUACCAAGGCAACGAUCAGUAGCCGGCUUGAGAGAGUGAACGGCCACAUUGGGACUGAGACACGGCCCAGACUCCUACGGGAGGCAGCAGUGGGGAAUAUUGCACAAUGGGGGAAACCCUGAUGCAGCGACGCCGCGUGAGUGAAGAAGUAUUUCGGUAUGUAAAGCUCUAUCAGCAGGGAGGAUAAUGACGGUACCUGACUAAGAAGCCCCGGCUAACUACGUGCCAGCAGCCGCGGUAAUACGUAGGGGGCAAGCGUUAUCCGGAUUUACUGGGUGUAAAGGGUGCGUAGGUGGCAAGGCAAGUCAGAUGUGAAAGCCCGGGGCUCAACCCCGGUACUGCAUUUGAAACUGUCUAGCUAGAGUGCAGGAGAGGUAAGCGGAAUUCCUAGUGUAGCGGUGAAAUGCGUAGAUAUUA